rnacentral:rRNA from 1 species
UACGGAGGAUGCAAGCGUUAUCCGGAAUGAUUGGGCGUAAAGCGUCCGCAGGUGGCAAUGUAAGUCUGCUGUCAAAGCGUCUGGCUCAACCAGAUAAAGGCAGUGGAAACUACAUAGCUAGAGUAAGGUAGGGGUAGAGGGAAUUCCUGGUGUAGCGGUGAAAUGCGUAGAUAUCAGGAGGAAUACCGGUGGCGAAAGCGACUCUCUGGACGGCAACUGACGCUGAGGCACGAAAGCGUGGGGAGCAAACAGG